rnacentral:tRNA from 1 species
CAGGGGUUAGUUUUAUUAAAAUAUCGGUUUUGGGGACCGAGGAUAGGGUUUAAUCCCUACCCCUGA